rnacentral:rRNA from 1 species
CUUCACUACAACUUUGCAUUGAUUUUGAAUUUUUGAUGUGUAGGAUAGUUGGGAGACUUUGAAGCUGUGUCGCUAGGCAUGGUGGAGUCAUCGUUGAAAUACCAACCUUUAAACAUUUAGAAUCUAAUCCCUAACGGGAAACAGUGCAUGGUGGGUAGUUUGACUGGGGUGGUCGCCUCCUAAAAUGUAACGGAGGCUCGCAAAGGUUCCCACAGUACGGUUGGUAAUCGUACAUAGAGCGUAUUAGUAUAAGGGAGCUUGACUGUGAGACUGACAAGUCGAGCAGGGACGAAGGUCGGCUAAAGUGAUCCGGUGGUUCUGUAUGGAAGGGCCAUCGCUCAAAGGAUAAAAGGUA